CCUACGAGUGGCAGCAGUGAGGAAUAUUGGUCAAUGGGCGCGAGCCUGAACCAGCCAAGUAGCGUGAAGGAUGACUGCCCUACGGGUUGUAAACUUCUUUUAUAAAGGAAUAAAGUGAGGCACGUGUGCAUUUUUGUAUGUACUUUAUGAAUAAGGAUCGGCUAACUCCGUGCCAGCAGCCGAGGUAAUACGGAGGAUCCGAGCGUUAUCCGGAUUUAUUGGGUUUAAAGGGAGCGUAGAUGGGUUGUUAAGUCAGUUGUGAAAUGUUGCGGCGCAACCGUAAAAGUGCAAUUGAUACUGGCAGCCUUGAGUACAGUUGAGGUAGGCGGAAUUCGUGGUGUAGCGGUGAAAUGCUUAGAUAUCACGAAGAACUCCGAUUGCGAAGGCAGCUUACUAAACUGCCACUGACAUUGAUGCUCGAAAGUGUGGGUAUCAAACAGGAUUAGAUACCCUUGUAGUC
rnacentral:rRNA from 1 species